UACGUAGGGGGCAAGCGUUGUCCGGAUUUAUUGGGCGUAAAGAGCGUGUAGGCGGCCGGAUAGGUCCGUUGUGAAAACUGGAGGCUUAACCUCCAGCGGUCGAUGGAAACCAUCUGGCUAGAGUCCGGAAGAGGAGAGUGGAAUUCCUGGUGUAGCGGUGAAAUGCGCAGAUAUCAGGAAGAACACCCGUGGCGAAAGCGGCUCUCUGGAACGGUACUGACGCUGAGACGCGAAAGCGUGGGGAGCGAACAGG
rnacentral:rRNA from 1 species